UGUGAAAUGAUGAUCCUUUCCCCACAUGAUCGACAAUGAUUAUACUGUGCGCUUUCCAUGUAUUUCUCUUCGGAGAAAUCAAGCCAGUGGUUCUGAUCACC